rnacentral:sRNA from 1 species
AUGGCAGCCCAGGGCUAUGGCUAUUAUCGCACUGUGAUCUUCUCAGCCAUGUUUGGGGGCUACAGCCUGUAUUACUUCAAUCGCAAGACCUUCUCCUUUGUCAUGCCAUCAUUGGUGGAAGAGAUCCCUUUGGACAAGGAUGAUUUGGGGUUCAUCACCAGCAGCCAGUCGGCAGCUUAUGCUAUCAGCAAGUUUGUCAGUGGGGUGCUGUCUGACCAGAUGAGUGCUCGCUGGCUCUUCUCUUCUGGGCUGCUCCUGGUUGGCCUGGUCAACAUAUUCUUUUCCUGGAGCUCCACAGUACCUGUCUUUGCUGCCCUCUGGUUCCUUAAUGGCCUGGCCCAGGGGCUGGGCUGGCCCCCAUGUGGGAAGGUCCUGCGGAAGGUGAGUGCUUCCAAAGAGCCUGUUUGGAUUGUCAUAGAGGAUGCCUAAAGAGCAUGUGGGAGCGCCCUUUCUUACCCACCACCUCCACACCCAACCCAGAGCAGGUUCCUGAGCAGUUCCUGGCCAGCUCCUAUUGCUUGUCAAGAUAUUUUAGGAGGCUGAGAGUGGUGGGAUCAGGUGGCAGAGGAGGAAACUGCCCUGCCAAACAGAAGCGCCCUCUCCCUCUUCCCUGUAAUGUGAGCUUCUGGGGCUGCCCCAUCUGACCCCACCCUCAACAUGGGCAGUAGGCUGGACACCUACGUGUCGCCCUCUGCCCCACAGUGGUUUGAGCCAUCUCAGUUUGGCACUUGGUGGGCCAUCCUGUCAACCAGCAUGAACCUGGCUGGAGGGCUGGGCCCUAUCCUGGCAACCAUCCUUGCCCAGAGCUACAGCUGGCGCAGCACGCUGGCCCUGUCUGGGGCACUGUGUGUGGUUGUCUCCUUCCUCUGUCUCCUGCUCAUCCACAAUGAACCUGCUGAUGUUGGACUCCGCAACCUGGACCCCAUGCCCUCUAAGGGCAAGAAGGGCUCCUUGAAGGAGGAGAGCACCCUACAGGAGCUGCUGCUGUCCCCUUACCUGUGGGUGCUCUCCACUGGUUACCUUGUGGUGUUUGGAGUAAAGACCUGCUGUACUGACUGGGGCCAGUUCUUCCUUAUCCAGGAGAAAGGACAGUCAGCCCUUGUAGGCGGGACUGUCCAACUACGGGAACCCUCGCCAUGGCCUGUUGCUGUUCAUGAUGGCUGGCAUGACAGUGUCCAUGUACCUCUUCCGGGUAACAGUGACCAGUGACUCCCCCAAGCUCUGGAUCCUGGUAUUGGGAGCUGUAUUUGGUUUCUCCUCGUAUGGCCCCAUUGCCCUGUUUGGAGUCAUAGCCAACGAGAGUGCCCCUCCCAACUUGUGUGGCACCUCCCACGCCAUUGUGGGACUCAUGGCCAAUGUGGGCGGCUUUCUGGCUGGGCUGCCCUUCAGCACCAUUGCCAAGCACUACAGUUGGAGCACAGCCUUCUGGGUGGCUGAAGUGAUUUGUGCGGCCAGCACAGCUGCCUUCUUCCUCCUACGAAACAUCCGCACCAAGAUGGGCCGAGUGUCCAAGAAGGCUGAGUGA